rnacentral:lncRNA from 1 species
CGAUCGACGGAUUACUCUAGACAUCGAUCGACGUCAUCUGCUGAAUCGACUGCCGAGUGUAGUGCAGCUCGAAUCAUGACCCAUGAGGAAUUCACAUAAAAACACUCUCACCCACCCUUCCCUCUCUACGUCAAAAUCGAUCGACCGCUUGAGCCAGCCAACGAUCGACAAAGAGAGACCGACAUCGAUCGACCCCCCUCACCUCCCAUCGAUCGACGG